rnacentral:rRNA from 1 species
UUUCUUGUUCGCCCCGCCUAUAUAUUGCCGUCGUCAGCUUACCCUUUAAAGGAAAAAUAGUAAGCAAAAUUGGUAUUACCCAAAACGCCAGGUCGAAAUGUAGUGUAUGAAAAGGAAAGAAAUGGGCUACAUUCCGUAGAACACUGAAUACGGACGGCAAACUGAAACGUUUACCUGAAGGAGGAUUUAGCAGUAAGAAAAGAUUAGAAUGCUAUUCUGAAACAGGCCCUGAAGCGCGUACACACCGCCCGUCACUCUCCCCGACAAACACACAAACCUUACUUUAAACCUAGAUUUUUCUUUAAGGGGAGGCAAGUCGUAACAUGGUAAGUGUACCGGAAGGUGCACUUGGAUACAAUUCAG